UCUUCUAUUUCAGCAACUGGUUUUUUGGUCGGUGGUGUAUUCUCCUUAGUUCUUUUCAAGAGAAGAACAUGGCCAAUCGCAUUUGGAGUAGGAACAGGCUUUGGAAUGGGAUACAGCAAUGCAGAAAAUGAUUUCCAGAACAAAAAUGCUGCAUUAUUAAAAAGACUACAGAAGGUGCCUGCCAGCACGUGAUGAUUGCCAUUUAAUGACAUUUGAUUCAAGUAAUAUUGGUUGCUAUAUUGUAUGUACAUGUGUGACUGUGAUCAGAGAUGUGAAUAAAGUAAUUUCAGUCA